rnacentral:rRNA from 1 species
UAAUACGUAGGGUGCGAGCGUUGCCCGGAUUUAUUGGGCGUAAAGGGCGCGCAGGUGGUUCUGUGUGCUCCGUGUGAAAUCGCCGGGCUUAACCCGGCGGGGUCACGGAUGACUACAGGACUGGAGCCUGGGAGGGGGAAGCGGAAUUCCCGGUGUAGUGGUGGAAUGCGUAGAUAUCGGGAGGAACACCAGUGGCGAAGGCGGCUUCCUGGACCAGAGCUGACACUGAGGCGCGAAAGCGUGGGGAGCGAUCCGGAUUAGAUACCCGGGUAGUCCACGCCGUAAACGAUGCAGACUAGGUGUCGGGGGUAUCGACCCCCUCGGCGCCGACGCUAACGCAUUAAGUCUGCCGCCUGGGGACUACGGCCGCAAGGCUA